GACGUAGGGCGCGAGCGUUGUCCGGAUUUAUUGGGCGUAAAGAGCUCGUAGGCGGCUUGUUGCGUCGGCUGUGAAAACCCAUGGCUCAACCGUGGGCUUGCAGCCGAUACGGGCAGGCUAGAGUUCGGUAGGGGAGACUGGAAUUCCUGGUGUAGCGGUGAAAUGCGCAGAUAUCAGGAAGAACACCCGUGGCGAAGGCGGCUCUCUGUAACGCAACUGACGCUGAGACGCGAAAGCGUGGGGAGCAAACAGG
rnacentral:rRNA from 1 species